rnacentral:rRNA from 1 species
GUCUACUGCCAUACCACCCUGAACGCGCCUGAUCUCUACUGAGAUCAGCUAAGCAGGGUUGGGCCUGGUUAGAAGUUGGAUGGGAGACA